UCCGAAUUGGUGUAGUGGCUAACAUUUGACGCUCUCAUCUCAUCUUCCACGCUUUGGUCUGGAUGUGUUAUGGCGUGCCGUCAAGCCCGGGGUUCGAUUCCCCGAUUCGGAG